AGCGAACGCUGGCGGCAUGCCUAACACAUGCAAGUCGAACGGGUCCUUCGGGAUUAGUGGCGGACGGGUGAGUAACACGUGGGAACGUGCCCUUUGGUUCGGAACAACUCAGGGAAACUUGAGCUAAUACCGGAUGUGCCCUUCGGGGCAAAGAUUUAUCGCCAUUGGAUCGGCCCGCGUUUGAUUAGCUAGUUGGUGAGGUAACGGCCCACCAAGGCGACGAUCAGUAGCUGGUCUGAGAGGAUGAUCAGCCACACUGGGACUGAGACACGGCCCAGACUCCUACGGGAGGCAGCAGUGGGGAAUCUUGCGCAAUGGGCGAAAGCCUGAUGCAGCAAUGCCGCGUGAAUGAUGAAGGUCUUAGGAUUGUAAAGUUCUUUUAGCGGGGACGAUAAUGACGGUACCCGCAGAAGAAGCUCCGGCUAACUUCGUG
rnacentral:rRNA from 1 species